AUGAUUAUUAUUUUUAUAUUGUUUUAUAAUAUUUUAGAGGUCAACUUAAGAAAUUCAAAUGGGAACUUAUACUUAAUUUGCAAUCAUAAUGUGAAAAAAUGUUGAUGCAUAAAAAUUUAAAUUCGGACGAGUAAUUUACGAGUUUUAUACUAGAUUAAAAAAAAUAAAAAAAAUUACCUUCUUCCGCAAGAUUCUUAUUCAAAACCAAUUUUCCAUGACGGAGAUAAUUUAAAAUGGGACUAAAAUAUGUUGGAUCACGAUCAAUCAUGUAUGCACCAGUUUCAUCCUAAAUCAAGAAAAGUAAUAAGAAAUAAAGCAAUAUAAUGUGCCAUGAAGAUGUAGUACUCACAGCAGUGUUAGUUAAUAAGCAAGAUAAUAACAAAGGUUUUAGCUCAUGAUGAAAAUUUACAUAUUUUUGAAUCAUCUUAAAUAGUUUGAUGGACCAGAAGGUUUUUUAAAGUGCAAAGAGUUAUGAUUUGUUCUAAUAAGUAAAAUUGGCAAUGCUUGUAAGUUGUAACUUAAUAAGCAUACAGUUAAGUUGUCCGACAGGGAAAAACAUGAU